rnacentral:rRNA from 1 species
UACGAAGGGUGCAAGCGUUGCUCGGAAUCAUUGGGCGUAAAGCGCACGUAGGCGGGUAUGUAAGUCGAUUGUGAAAGCCCUGGGCUCAACCCGGGUAUUGCAGUCGAUACUGCAAAUCUUGAGUGCUUGAGAGGAUGGCGGAAUUCCUGGUGUAGUAGUGAAAUACGUAGAUAUCAGGAGGAACACCGGAGGCGAAAGCGGCUAUCUGGCGAGACACUGACGCUGAGGUGCGAAAGCGUGGGGAUCAAACAG